UGGGGGAUAACGUAGCGAAAGUUACGCUAAUACCGCAUACGAUCUACGGAUGAAAGCGGGGGAUCGCAAGACCUCGCGCGAUUGGAGCGGCCGAUAUCAGAUUAGGUAGUUGGUGGGGUAAAAGGCUCACCAAGCCAACGAUCUGUAGCUGGUUUGAGAGAACGACCAGCCACACUGGGACUGAGACACGGCCCAGACUCCUACGGGAGGCAGCAGUGGGGAAUUUUGGACAAUGGGCGAAAGCCUGAUCCAGCAAUGCCGCGUGCAGGAAGAAGGCCUUCGGGUUGUAAACUGCUUUUGUACGGAACGAAACGGUCUGCCCUAAUACGGUGGGCUAAUGACGGUACCGUAAGAAUAAGCACCGGCUAACUACGUG
rnacentral:rRNA from 1 species